GAUGAACGCUAGCUACAGGCUUAACACAUGCAAGUCGAGGGGAAACGACAUCGAAAGCUUGCUUUUGAUGGGCGUCGACCGGCGCACGGGUGAGUAACGCGUAUCCAACCUGCCCACCACUUGGGGAUAACCUUGCGAAAGUAAGACUAAUACCCAAUGACGUCUCUAGAAGACAUCUGAAAGAGAUUAAAGAUUUAUCGGUGAUGGAUGGGGAUGCGUCUGAUUAGCUUGUUGGCGGGGUAAGGCCCACCAAGGCGACGAUCAGUAGGGGUUCUGAGAGGAAGGUCCCCCCAACAUUGGAACUGAGACACGGUCCAAAACUCCUACGGGAGGCAGCAGUUGA
rnacentral:rRNA from 1 species